rnacentral:lncRNA from 1 species
CGGCCCCGCUCGCCCGGCGUGGGAAGGAAAUGCCACCCUGCGCUGGGAACGAAAGGGCUGGGAGAGCCCGGACGCCUGGGUCCCCUCCUAGCAGGGGAGGUUCAAGCGCAGGGGCCAGGACGCCUGGGCCCCCUCCUCCUCGGAGGCGAGGCGGGGAGGGAGGAAGCCUCUGCUCUGGGAAAAACACUUCCCCUCCAGCGCUCCGGAGCUGUUCCCGGCAGGAAGGAGCUCUGAGCUGCGGGGCAGAGACGCAGCAAAGCCAUGGUCUGCUCGCGGGAGACCGGCACCCGGAGACUGAGCUGAAGGUGCCGUCRCGGUCGGUGCCAGCCUGCGGCCGCCCGAGGAAGCCAGCGACGGGGACAGAGCUGCGCCGGAGGGGACGCUCCAUGCGGAGCUGAAGCGGCCGCGGCCGA